rnacentral:tRNA from 1 species
UAGCUCAGUUGGUAGAGCAUGGUGUUUGCAACGCCAGGGAUGUGGGUUUGAUUCCCAC